UGUGAGAUGUGUUACUGAACUUAGAUGCU
rnacentral:piRNA from 1 species